UGGGGUAUCGCCAAGCUGGUAAGGCACGGGAUUCUGAAUCCCGCAUUCGUUGGUUCGAGUCCAGCUACCCCAGCCA
rnacentral:tRNA from 1 species